AGGAAAAGGUACCAGAUCAUUUUUUUCCUGAUGACUAGGGACUAUCCCCUCCUUAUGCCUUGGUGUGUGGAGCACAAAGGCUGCUGGGAAAGAGGGUAGGUGAGUUUUCACAAUAAACCAAGAGGACUGUGGGAAGAAAAGGGUUAAGACCUUGACACAAUUUUUUGAGGGAGGUGGGGGUGGUGGAGACUGAAUGUUGGAAUAUUCCGAGCACAGUAAACCCUUAGAGACCAGCAGAUGGGAAAGGCCACCCAGCAAAAUCACCUAGACCCAAAGAGAAACUAACUAUGAAGUCAGGGUUUAGGUUAUCCUAUGAAAGAGCUAGUUGUGGGCAUGACGUGAAGCCGGUAGAGAGACACCCUCUGCCCACUCAACCCUGGAACUUUGGUCUAAGCCUAUGCAUGUAUUCCACACCACAGAUCAGAGAACACACGAUUCGAUCUGCCAGUGAAGCAGAUUGAAUGUUAAGACUUGUAAGGGAGCUGUUAGAAGAAAUUGCUCUCUUGCUGGUGGUGUUGAGAUACCGUGAGCCUGAAGGUAAAAAGGUACAUGAUCAGCCAGCCAGCCUUAUGGAAGCAGAACUGAGAAAUGUUUUCUACCGUUCUUUCAUCCCUUUCCUGGUUCCUUCUCAAAUAUCAUUUGCCCAGAGCAUCUGCAGACUUGAUGGAAAAGGAAUUCUCAGGACGAGUGACCAUGUAAGUGUGUUUGGUGUGGCUCCAGUAACUCAUGAGCUGCAUCUGUUUCAGGGAAUAAGGUUUCAUUCAUAGGUCACUUUUUGUAGUUCCAUUUUGAUCUUAUUCACAUCUUCUUAUAUGUUUUGUUUGAUGAAAACUGUGCCCAAGCCAGUGGAGACUUAAAACUGAUGUUGUUCAGACCUGGUUCUACUGACUUGUCUCUCCCGAUAGUGCUGUACAUGGUUGGUUGGCUACCACCGUUUAGUGGCAGUGAUGAUGGCCUUGGUAGUGGUGGCUAUAGGUUUCUUGUGGAGACCAGAAGCAGAGAGUUGGAAAUGCAUUAUUGGGUGACGCUUUAUUUUUAAAAGUAGCUGAAAUACGUUUUUGUUUUCAAGGUGCCUGAGACCAAAAGAAAUGUCCCUAGCAUCAAAUCCAUAUACAUGCAAAGAAAUCCUGUUAAUGCUUUUUGGACACAGCAGGAUUUAAGGGGAUGUGGAUUCCUGGACAAUGAAACCAAAGAUGGAAGUCUGCCCUCUGAAAUGGCCUAUGAAAGAAUGACACUCCAGUAGUGAUGACCACAUCUAAUUCCUACCAGAAGGAACUAGGACUUCUUGGAGAAAUAGGCGAUCAUCAGUCUGGAGCAGGUGAGCCUAGGAUCUCUCAUUUCAAAACAACAUUGAAAGCACUCAAAGACUGAACUUGCUGGGAUUCCCACUAGCCAAAUUUGUGAUAAUUCGAAUAUCAAAAAGAAUAAUGACUCUAAUUGAUUGUAAAGCAUUGAGCAAAUUCAAAUCUAUGAACCCAAUAAUGCUAAUCAAAAGAAUAAAACUCAUUUACCACCCUUGGAGUUAAAUCUUCCACUGAAUCUUUACUGUGAAAAUUGCUAAUUAAAGGGAAGGAAUGAAUCAUUUACUUUGUCUUUUUGGCGAGGAAAGAUAUUUCAGCUCAAAUUGAUAAUAGAAAGCUCUUUUUUUUUGUACAGAAAAAAAAAAGACAGUUAAUAAAUACAGAAGAAAGAAGGGAAUUAGAAAUCAACAUUUAUGCAACCCUCCAUGAUGUGAUUGGCUGAGGCAAGAGAUUAUUGGAGUAUGCAUAAAGUAGUAUGGAAGAAGUUGUUGGAAGGUACAAUAUUUACAUCAUACAAUUAUGGCUUUACAGGUUACUCACUGCAAAGAAGAAAAUGUACCUUUUACAGGAGAGCUAUCAGAUUACCACUUUAACCAAGGGAUCAGCCUUAAAUUACUUAGAAUGGAAUAACUUGCCCUAAUGUGCUCCUGUUGUAAUGCAAAUAUGAAAUAUAGCACAGCAUCACUCUUGAAGUAAUCUUGCCAAAAUAUCUGAAUCUAAAGAAAUCUUUUGACCUUACCUUCAGUUUACAGGAAAUGCGGGAGUUAAGCAUUCUACAAGAACACCUGGACUGAACUGUUCAAGAAGCCAAUGUUAUUAAAAUAAAAAGUAGGGAGAAGGCAGCCAUUCUAAAGUAAAAGAAACUAAAAAAACAUAGCAACCAAAACCAAAUGCAAUAUGUAAACCCUGGUUGGAUCCUUGUUUUUUUUUUUUUUUUAAAGUAUAAAAAGUAUAAUUCUAUGCAAAAUUAGGAUUGCAAAAAAAAGAUAUAAAAGGAAUUUUGUGUUUAAUUGAGGAAAUGUGAAUACAGAGUAUUAGGAAAUAUUAGGAAAAAUGUUAGUUUUCUUAGAUGAUAAUGAAUUUACAGUUUAGGAGGAAAAAAAAAAUUUUAGGUGAUGCAUGCUGAAGUAUUCAGGGAUAAAACAUCAUGGUGUCUAAAGUUUACUUUCAAAUAGUUUAUCAAAAAAAAUGUGGUACAUAAUCUAUACAUGAUAAACAUGGCAAAAUAUAAACAAAUAUUGAAUCUAAGUGGUGUGUAUACUGGUGACCACUGAACUAUCCUUUCGACUUUUCUGUAUAUUUGAACUUCAUGAUGAAAAAUUGAGGGGGAAUGCCUUAAGAGAUGUCACAAUUCUAUGAUAUAUGCUAGAUAGCUAGUUUGUGCAAACAUACCCUGAGUGACCCUGUUAAUCACUUUCUUGAAAAUGUAAAGACCCUGUCCUCCCUCCAUAUUCCCAUCAAGCAUAAUGUGCAGAGGAAUGUGUUGUUCAGUGUUCAAGGUCAGGGGCCCCAAGGGUGGCAAACCCAGAGCAUCUCCCUUUUAAUGAAAAGUGUCCAGGUGCCUGGCUUUAAUCAGCUUGGAAAUGCUGGCCAUGCAGACGGGUGGAAGUGUUGCAGGAUUUUUUACCUCAGUACCAGGGUUUGUUGUCUCACCACUCUGAAGAAUGAAGAAGUGGACACAAAAUGGGCAGCAGGCAAAACUUUAUUCACGUAUAAGAUCAGAAAGGAAGAAUAGUAUGAAAGCUCUCUUUAUAGAGAGGGGACAUUCAAAAGUGAAUGCCCUUGACCUGUAGUCAAUAACUAUAUACAUAUAGUCUAUAACUAGGGUCUUUGUUUUAUAAGCUUCUGGUCAGCCCAUCCUUCACCCUUGCCCUCCUUUCUUCCCAGGUCCUACCCUUAUAGGCUUGAUAACUCUAGGUGCUGGGUUGUCCAUUCUGAUUGGCUCGAUUUCAUUGUACGAGGGGUGGGUGGUCUAUGGCCAUAUCAUUCUUUGUGGGUCAUACAUGUUAUGGCCUACUACUUGUUUUUAGUCUUUAGUAAAAUUCUUGUGGGAAACCUGAAGGGGAGUAGGUGGUAUCUGUUACAUUCUUAAGGGGAACUUUACGCCUGAGAGGGUUUGCUGUGGUCAGACACUCCCAGCCUUGGUGUUUUUCCCACCCAGGGAUCUCAGGUCCUAAUCUUUCCCUCUCUGUCUACUGAAGCCUAUCUUUUCCUAUCAUAGAAGGGCCACUGAUAGUUGCUUGGUUAAGUUGCUAUGCUAUAAAAACUGGCUGCAGAGGAUUCUUUGUCUAGUCAGCUGCUCCUGGAGUCCCUGUAUAUAAGUUCCCCCUAAUUGUCCUAUGUCUUUAUUACUGUCUGGGGGUCUUUUCUUUGGCCUCUCUGGACCAUCACUCACCUGAGGCUUAGAGUCUGCUGGGCUGUGUCUCUCCAAUAUAUGGCCCUAAAAUGUAUACUGAAUUAGAUAAAACAUUUGUUUAUUAAUUUACCAUUUGGGGAAGGUUAAUGAUGACAAAAAUUAGUUUUUAAAUUAUUUUAUCUAUAAUGAAGUUUAAAUUCUCUUAUAGUUCCAAAGGGUUAUGAUAAUUCAAGACCUACAGUAUUGGUGAAGUUUUGGGGUAAUGGGGGGUUUGUAGAGUCCGGAGCCAAUGGCCAAGAAAGAAUUCUUGAAGACAUCUGUAGUGCAAAAUGGUGAUUUUAUUAAAGCAUGGGAACAGGACCCUUGGGCAGGAAGAGCUACACUGGGGUCAUGAUAGGUAACUCAUUAUAUACCCUCAGGUUGGGAGGGGGUCAGGGAUUGAGUAAAUCUCUAAGGUAUUUUGGAAGGAAGAUUUCCAGGACCUUGAGGGGCUAGCUGUUGGUAGGGAAACAUCAUUUAUCACCAUUUAAUCAAACCUGUCAUGAGACCCUUCAGAUGCAUGUGGUGGUGCAGGGACAUAAACUUGGAGCAUGAUUCUGGGGCAGUUGAGAUAAAGGAAGUAGACUUACAGGAUCCUCAAGAUUGGGACAAUGUUAAGCCAAGUUUCUCUUUUGCCCCUAGCAAAGUGUCAUCCUUGAGGCAGCUGAGCUCCUAGAGGGAGGUCACUCUGCUGGUCUCAAGGACUUGUCAAUAGGCUAUAGGCAGUAAGAGAAUUUAAUUUUUCAUUUGCCUUAGUUUCCCACAUUACCAUGGCAAGGACUUAAACCCCUUUCUUUUGUUCUUGGGUGGCUAGGAGUGUCCAAGGAAUAUCACACAGAUCCCACCUGGGGUGCGGUGGGGUGCUAGCUUCUGUUUUUGCCCCUCAGUCUGCCUCAUGCUCCCUUAUCAGUAUGGUAUGGUCAGUUUGGCCUGAGUGGACAUCUGGUUAGUGACAAAACAUCCAGAGUGGUUGGCUCACAUCUGCCAACUGAAUGCAAUAAGUCUCUGCUAAAGGGUUUCACUUAAGGUGGACACUUGAAAGAUAUCACGCGUGGACAUCCUAUGAGUGCUACAAGAGAACAGUAAAAGAUAAGAUAUCCUUUAGGCAUUAUUAAAAGGCCUAUAGGAGGUGAGGGUGCACUUUUGUGAUAUGCUAGGAUGAUAACUAGAUCACUAGGUAAUAACUCAAGAAAUCUUUGUUUACCUAGCCUUGUGAUAGCUAUCUGUAUAGAAAUAUGAAACUUGAUAUAUUUAGUACAUUUGGUGUAAUGUAUUUCUCCUGUAAACCCAAAUAAUCUGAUUUUAUUUUCAUAAAUUACAUAUAAUAAGAAAACUGUCAAUUCUGUAGAAUCAACCAGUUUACAACAUACUUUUAUAUACAGUGAAGAAGGCAAUGAAAAAUUUUUAAUCUCAUUUUAUACAUGAAGCAACAGGUACAGAGACUAAAUUAUUUGCCUAAAGCCAAUGGCUAAUAAAUACAGAAGCUGAAACUUGGGUAAGCCCUACAAAUUCCCCCUCUUCCUUCUCUUAAACAACUGAAUCCCAUCAAACUCAUGCGUCCUUGACAAUCCAGGCUAGGGUUCAGGUUGACUAGUGAUGAGGGGAGAACCUACACUUCACAAUAAUGAAUUCUCUUAGCCUCAUGUGCUUUACAGGGUAAGACAUGGCCAAGUAUAUGUUACAGGUUGCAAGUGGCUGUUUGCUCAUGGAGAUAUAUUUUUAGCUUCUUUUUAUUUUAAUGAUGCUGGAUGACUCAAUUUCUUUUCAUUUCAUAUGAGAAGCGUGGUGAUAUUUUCCUGUUUUACUUCACUUGGAUAUAAAACACCUUAAUGAGCUGUGAUGCUGGGUGGGCUAGUCUGCCUUUGUUUGCUUCUGAACUUCCACCGAAUGCUUGGCCCCAGUAGAGCUUUCUCAGUUCAUCGCUCUUUUUAAGGAACUGUUAGAGGAGCCUGAGGGCUCUUGAACUUUUGAUGCCAAUGGGUAGUGAGACACUCUCUUGGCUUAAUAGGUUCUUUCCAUAAUUGCUAGACUGUAUUUGUUUUUCAAUACCGGCAGGCAGAGAUAUCCUGGGGGGGGGGAUCUUUGGGUAUAAUGCAGAAAACAGUUUUUUCUUGCUUGUUUUAGUUCUGUUGCUUUGUCAUUGUUGUUGUUUUACCAUUUCAAUUUACUAUCUGUGCAUAAAACACUUAGUGUGUUUAGCUAAUGUAUUAGAAUGGAAGCUGAAUGAGUAUUUUCAAUUUUGUCUUUCCUUAACAGACCAUGAUUUUCCAGACCAAGAAUUCUGUAACAGAUUAAGUCAGGGGUUCAUCUUUGUAUCUGCUUUAUUUACAGAUUGAACACAUUCACCCCAUUGUAAUAUCCACCUAUGACUCACUUGUAGUUUAUGUGUGUGUGUGUGCACCCACACACACUCAUGUGCACAUGUACUAUCUAGUUUACUUCAUAGACUAAGAUCUUUGAUUCACUUGUGGUUUUUAGUUUUAAUUUUUUUUAACACUUAUUUAACAGAGCGCAAGUGGGGAAGGGUAGUGAGAGAAGGAGGCACAGAAUCUGAAGCAGGAUCCAGGCUCUGAGCUGUCAGCACAGAUCCCAAAGCUGGGCUCAAACCCACGACCCAUGAGGUCAGGACCUGUGCCAAACUCAGAUACUUAACCGACUGAGCCACCCAGGUGCCCCUGGUUUUUAGUUUUAAAAGAGUAGCUGCUCAAGUAUAAUUUCUCUUUUAAAAGUAAACAAAUUAAGUUUAAAAGCCUAUCGGUAUAUGUAAUAUUUUUACUUGUUUUUUGCCAAAAGAGAUAAUUUCUUCUCUAAUUGUUCUAACAAACAGUGUGAAGACUGCUCUUACAAAGGAAGUAGUUGACAAGAAUUACAUGUGUGUGUGUGAAGAGAGCCAAUUUUUUGAUAGCAGACUUUUAAAAAAAUUAUAGUCUAUAUUAACAAAGUGAAAUUAUGAUAGGGAAAGAUAGGAUAAAAUAGUCAGAGAGGGAAAGUUAGGACCUGAGAUCUCUGGGUGGGGAAAAACACAUAUUUUAAAAAAUGCUGGGAGCAUCUGACUAGGAGCAAACUUCCUCAGGCUUAAGGUUCAUCUUAAAAAUCUAAUGAACACCACCUACUUCUCCUCAGGUUCCCCUCAGGAUUUUGACAAUCAAAAUACCUAACUAAAAUAGAUAAACCAUAAAACUCAUGUUGUAAAAGGGACAGUAUGACCAUAGUCUGAUUCCUCACACAAUGAAAUCAGCCAGUCAAGAAUGGACAACCCAGAACCUAGAGUUAUCAAACCAAUAAGGGUAGGACCUGAGAAGGAAUGAGGGGGAAGGGAAGCGAGGGUGACCAAAAUCCUAUAAAACAAAGUCCCUUGCCUAUAGUCCACAGAUAUUCACUUUCGAAUGCCCCCACUCUGCAAAGAGAGUUUCCAUACUAUUCUUCCUUUCUGAUCUUAUACUCUAAUAAACUUUCGCCUGCUGCUCAUUUUA